UACGUAGGGUGCGAGCGUUGUCCGGAAUUACUGGGCGUAAAGAGCUCGUAGGCGGUUUGUCGCGUCGUCUGUGAAAUCCUCCAGCUUAACUGGGGGCGUGCAGGCGAUACGGGCAGACUUGAGUACUACAGGGGAGACUGGAAUUCCUGGUGUAGCGGUGGAAUGCGCAGAUAUCAGGAGGAACACCGGUGGCGAAGGCGGGUCUCUGGGUAGUAACUGACGCUGAGGAGCGAAAGCGUGGGGAUCAAACAGG
rnacentral:rRNA from 1 species